UAAUUUUUGAUUAGGUAAUAAGUAUUAAUGAGAAAACGGUGUAUUUACUUGUACCUAUAUAAUAUUGUGGCGAGUACAUGAUUAGCUGGAGUCCAAGGAAUGGUUUGCCUUCUGGUUUUCCAUAAAUCGGCACAGGAUUUUGAACAAAAUACUGCACUAAGUAUCACAUCAUCAGUGUUAUCAAUGAGAAUUAAUUUCCUGUGCAGCAAAACACACCGGGUACCAGCUAGUAUAAUAUAUGGCUGACGUCACUAAAGAUAACAAUUGCGUUUCACUCUGUUGGAUUCUUAACAUUUAUAAUCAAAUAGUAUGAAUCACGACGAAAGACGUAGGUAAUACUUUAUUUGCAUAAAAUAUAAUCAUAGCAAAAUAUAUUUUAAAAAUAUUAAUUAAAA